UACGUAGGGUGCAAGCGUUAAUCGGAAUUACUGGGCGUAAAGCGUGCGCAGGCAGUUGUGCAAGACAGAUGUGAAAUCCCCCGGGCUUAACCUGGGAAUUGCAUUUGUGACUGCACGGCUAGAGUGUGUCAGAGGGGGGUAGAAUUCCACGUGUAGCAGUGAAAUGCGUAGAUAUGUGGAGGAAUACCGAUGGCGAAGGCAGCCCCCUGGGAUAACACUGACGCUCAUGCACGAAAGCGUGGGGAGCAAACAGG
rnacentral:rRNA from 1 species